CUAGAUAGUGUUGUCAUAUCUGUCUUCACAUUGACCCGCUGGUUUGUUUGGUCUAGUUGAACUUGGAGCAUAGUUUCAAGGUAAAAGUUUUGCAACUGAAUUUCGUCUUUGCGGUCAGCACUUCAUAUUAAUUUACACAUUUUGGACACAAACAUAACGUUGCCUGGUAGUUUAAAAGGCACUCAAAUAAAAAGUUUUCGUAUUGGAAAGAACGAAAUAUUCCGUAUGUGAAGUCAUUUCCUUUUAUUGGAUCUGUGUUAGAUGUUGCGACAACGCCACUGCAUGAUCUUGAACUAGAGAGAUAUUUUUCUUUGGGCCCAAUUUAUGGCUCUUUUGAAGGUCAUCGUCCUGUUCUAGUUGUAGGUGACCCAAAACUCAUCCGAGAUGUUUUUAUCAAAGAUUUCCCAACUUUUAUAAACAGAAGAAGUUUCUUUACUGGGCUCAAAAAUUUCGAUCUAUCUAUUUUAGUAAACGAAGGAGAAGAUUGGAAGAGAAUUAGAUCCAUCAUCAGUCCUGCAUUCUCAAUAAGCAAGCUUAAAAGACUUUUGGGAAUAUUCAAAGAGUGCUCCGAAACAUUGGUUCAAAAUUUCAAAAUAUCUGCCCAAAAAGAGGAAUCAAUAUCUGUGAGAA